AUACAGGAUAGAGUAGUUGUAAUUAUUACCCUACUGAACUCUACUACUUCACGCCAUCUCUUGACAUCUGAAACUAAAAGUAUUAAAUUUUGAAGUUAUUCUAGCUCACCUGAUAAUCUGAUAUUUCUCUCUCUAACUAAAUUUCGUCACUUAUCUUUUUCGAGAUCUAUUUGUAUUAUCCUCUAAAAAUCCAGUUUGAGAUUCAACUCUCCAAAGGACACUCUUCUCCCUAUCAUCAGAUUUGCCGCGUCUCGUUUAACAAAAGAAGAAAAACCGUAGGCUCCGUCAAGUCCCACCUCGAGAAUCACCACCUCCUCGCCACCAUCAAAUACGAAGACUUCACCGUCAAACCGUUCCAAGACCUUUAAAUCCAGUCAUGUUCGGUCCACACACACAAGCAAUAGAUUACCGUUUGUCUGUAUCCUCUCUUUCUCUCUCAGAUAUGGGCACCAAGAACGCGAGAGACAAAACCAAGCAUCUUUACCUUAACGUUCUUUCAGCUGGGUUACCAUUAGGUCUCACUUCACAAUCUUUCCCGUCAUUUUCUUGAUUCGAUUGGAGGGGUCUCAAGCUAGAUAGGACAGAUCAAACAGAGCUUAACUUUUUUUUACCAAGAUUCAAGGCUUACACAGAUGCUUCAAAACUUUGAGAAGGAUACACAGAGGAAAAAAACAUGAAAUUUGUGAUUCGGGGAUUGUGUAUGACAAAUGUAUCCCGUUAGCAUAUUUGAUAUCAUAUUCUAAUAACUAAGUAGCUAUGUAGUUGUUAUCUAAUUAUCAUUGAGUUUA